rnacentral:misc_RNA from 1 species
GAUGAAGAACGUAGCGAAAUGCGAUAAGUAAUGUGAAUUGCAGAAUUCAGUGAAUCAUCGAAUCUUUGAACGCACAUUGCGCCCGCCAGUAUUCUGGCGGGCAUGCCUGUUCGAGCGUCAUUUCAGCCCUCAAGCCCAGCUUGGUGUUGGGGAUCGGCACAGGCGCCCUCGGGCGCCCGCCGUCCCCUAAAUCUAGUGGCGGUCCCGCUGCAGCCUCCUCUGCGUAGUAGUUUUCUCCUCGCAAGGGCAGCUCGGUGGCGACCUCGCCGUAAAACCCCCAACUUCUGAAAGGUUGACCUCGAAUCAGGUAGGAAUACCCGCUGAACUUAAGCAUAUCAAUAAGCGGAGGA